UACGGAGGGUGCAAGCGUUAUCCGGAUUUACUGGGUUUAAAGGGUGCGUAGGUGGGUUGGGAAGUCAGUGGUGAAAUACUUUCGCUUAACGAAGGAACUGCCAUUGAUACUAUCAAUCUUGAAUGUAGUGGAGGUAGGCGGAAUGCGUCAUGUAGCGGUGAAAUGCUUAGAUAUGACAUAGAACACCGAUAGCGAAGGCAGCUUGCUACACAGUUAUUGACACUGAGGCACGAAAGCGUGGGGAGCAAACAGG
rnacentral:rRNA from 1 species